CUCCACCAGUGUCACCUCCAGCGCUGUCACCUCCACCAAUGUCACCCCCACUGGUGUCACCACCACCGAUGUCACCUCCACUGGUGUCACCUCCACCGAUGUCACCUCCACCGCUCCAGCCACCACCUCAGCAGGGACCUCCACUGUCUCUUCUGCUACUGAGGGAACCCCAACUGCUGUCACCUCCACCAGUGUCACCCCCACUGAUGUCACCUCCACUGCUCCUGCCACCACCUCAGGAGGAUCCUCUGCUGUCUCCUCUUCUACUGAGGGAACCACCACUGCUGUCACCUCCACUGGUGGCACCACCACAGAUGUCACCUCCACCAGUGUCACCCCCACAUCAUCUCCCACUGCCUCAGGAGCGUCCUCUACAGCCUCUUCCACAACCCUGCAAGGACCCUCCACCGCUGUCACCUCCACCAGUGUCACCUCCACCAGUGUCACCUCCACUGCUCCUGCCACCACCUCAGCAGGGACCUCCACUGUCUCCUCUACUACUGAGGGAACCCCCACCACUGUCACCUCCACAGACGUCACCUCCAUCAGUGUCACCUCCACUGGUGUCACCUCCACAGAUGGCUCCUCCACUGGUGGCACCACCACGGAUGUCACCUCCACUGGUGUCACCUCCACCGGUGUCACCCCCACUGAUGUCACCUCCACUGCUCCUGCCACCACCUCAGGAGGAUCCUCCGCUGUCUCCUCUACUACUGAGGGAACCACCACUGCUGUCACCUCCAUCGCUGUCACCUCCACGGGUGUCACCACCACGGAUGGCACCUCCACAGAUGUCACCUCCAGCAAUGUCACCUCCACUGGUGUCCCCCCCACCGAUGUCACCUCCACUGCGCCUGCCACCACCUCAGCAGGGACCUCCGCUGUCUCCUCUACUACUGAGGGAACCUCCACCAGUGUCACCUCCACCAGCGUCACCUCCACCGAUGUCACCUCCACCGGUGUCACCUCUACUGCUGUCACCUCCACUGCUUCUGCCACCACCUCAGCAGGGACCUCCAUUGUCUCCUCUACUACUGAGGGAACCCCCACCACUGUCACCUCCACAGAUGUCACCUCCACCAGUGUCACCUCCACUGGUGUCACCUCC
ensembl:lncRNA